rnacentral:lncRNA from 10 species
GACAUUGAGGAGCUCCUACAGGUGGUUCCUGAGGAACUGACUAAUGAGGAGUUGUUGGAACUGGAACAGGAACACAUACCUCAAGAAGAGGCAAGGAAGAAAAAACUGCAGAAGAAAAAGAAUCCCCAUGAAAAUUCACAGUGAAGAGCUGAGAAGUUUUUGCAGACCUCAGUAAGCGCCUUAAAAAUUCUGAAAACAUGGGCCCCUCAACACCAAAAGGGUUUCAUUAACAGAGAGGAAUGUUCUUUAUGCACUGUCUGCUUACAAGCAAAUCUAUGAUGAAAAAGGAAAGCAAGCAAACCACCAUGGACAUAUUUCUGAUGCAUGACAUCUCCUAAGAACCUCAGAAUAACCACAAGAUGUAAGUGGAGUCUACACAGACAGAGAUGGGGAAAGGAAGGUGCUUCGUCUCCACCUACUUGGCCGCCUAAUUGGAUUUGCAUCUGUUUAAGAUUACGGAGUCUUUCUUUCAAAGUGAGAGGCAACGCCGGUCAUAGCGGCUUUUGUUUUUUGUGCGUUAUUUGAAUGAUGAGCUGUAAAAACUCUCAUUAGAUAAAAGGUGCCUGAAAUUCAAGGGCUCAUGCCUCUUCUACAAAGUGGGUUGGCAAUUACAGAAAUUCUUUCCCUUUUGGGUUGACUGUGGUGAAAGUACUUUUGCUCUUUUGGAGGUGAGGGAGCAGCACCACACCAGGACAGAAAGAACAGGCUCAGGUGACAGCCACUUACUCAGGCUCAGGUCGGUGGGCAAGUGGGCACUGGCCUCCUCCCAUCUUGGCAAAGCCACUGACAGUAGGCAAGGAAGGGCUGGGCGGUGCUGCUCGUAACAAUGGCUCUUGUAUGUCCUUAGAAUUUUCAUUUUUUUGUGAAGUGCUUUUACUUUCUCUCUGGCUCACAGUAUCGCAAGGAGCUAAGUAAGGCCUGUAUGGAAUCUCCACUGUAUCCAUGGGAUGGGAGGUGCUGAACACACGCCCAAGGCAACAAGGCCACUCAGGGAAGGAGCCAGGCCAUGCCACUGCGUGCCUUCCAUCCUACCAAGCUGCUUCUGCUAUUCUUUGCUUUACACUUCAGCUCAUUUACUCAAGGAAAUGAAAUGAAGUGGCAAACAGGACAGAAAUGAAAAUAGAAUUCUUUAAGUGGUAAAUUUGGGACAAUAAAGGCAUCAAUUAAAAUAUGGUUCAGGAAUAGGGAGAGGUGCUCCUUCGUGCCUCACAGAAGCACGGACAAUUCUGUGCUAUUUAUUGUCUUUGAAAGAGGGUUCACUCAAACCUCUGCCGCAACACCUCCAGAUGCACAUUCGGUGUCUUCUGUGCUGAGCUGGCAGAUGCCGGGGAGGGGUGCUGUGCCCCUCACCUGCCUGCCAGUCACAGUCAAGGGUCUCCUUCAAGGUGCUCUGGGCCCAUGUUCUGUAGCGACAUGGGGGAUGGUUGUGCCACUGCCCAGGCAGUGAUCAAGCCUUUGUGACGGCCCAUGGGGCUGGGCCUGCCUUGUGCUGUGCCUGCUCUGAGGCAGCUGGGGCUGUGGUGGGGAGCCAGGGCCUCAUUCUGUAAACCCAGUGCUGGUUCUCUGGGAGUCUGCAGCCACAGGCACGUGGCACAUAUUGGUCCCUAGUUACAUUAAGGGCAGGGGUAGGAUUUGCAUCUGUUUAAGAUUACAAGGACUGGAUGAGUUCUGAAAAAUUCAUAAUUCUGAAAACCUAUUAGU